rnacentral:rRNA from 2 species
CCGUUGGUGAACCAGCGGAGGGAUCAUUACUGAGUUUACGCUCUACAACCCUUUGUGAACAUACCUAUAACUGUUGCUUCGGCGGGUAGGGUCUCCGUGACCCUCCCGGCCUCCCGCCCCCGGGCGGGUCGGCGCCCGCCGGAGGAUAACCAAACUCUGAUUUAACGACGUUUCUUCUGAGUGGUACAAGCAAAUAAUCAAAACUUUUAACAACGGAUCUCUUGGUUCUGGCAUCGAUGAAGAACGCAGCGAAAUGCGAUAAGUAAUGUGAAUUGCAGAAUUCAGUGAAUCAUCGAAUCUUUGAACGCACAUUGCGCCCGCCAGCAUUCUGGCGGGCAUGCCUGUUCGAGCGUCAUUUCAACCCUCAAGCUCUGCUUGGUGUUGGGGCCCUACAGCUGAUGUAGGCCCUCAAAGGUAGUGGCGGACCCUCCCGGAGCCUCCUUUGCGUAGUAACUUUACGUCUCGCACUGGGAUCCGGAGGGACUCUUGCCGUAAAACCCCCAAUUUUCCAAAGGUUGACCUCGGAUCAGGUAGGAAUACCCGCUGAACUUAAGCAUAUCAAUA